rnacentral:rRNA from 1 species
GAGGAAGUAAAAGUCGUAACAAGGUUCGCCAGCGUAGGUGACACGACACUUUUCUUCCACUGAAAAGUGAGUUCCCAUCCCUACAGAAGCCUUGCAGUUCAGUCUAUCUUGAAUAGGCUACACCGGCAUGAUGCCUGGGACUUCACUGUAACAGGUGAGAACCAGCAGCCGCUAACGCGGCUCACAGAUCAAACGUCAGGUGGCUCAGUGCUACUGAGUUGAGAGAUGACCGGCCUCACCAUGCGAGUGGUUGAGAACUGUCGCGUUCCGUAGGUGAACCUGCGGAAGGAUCAUUA